AGAGUUUGAUCCUGGCUCAGGAUGAACGCUGGCGGCGUGCCUAAUACAUGCAAGUCGAACGCGCAGCGAGAGGUGCUUGCACCUUUCAAGCGAGUGGCGAACGGGUGAGUAACACGUGGAUAACCUGCCUCAAGGCUGGGGAUAACAUUUGGAAACAGAUGCUAAUACCGAAUAAAACUUAGUAUCGCAUGAUAUAAAGUUAAAAGGCGCUACGGCGUCACCUAGAGAUGGAUCCGCGGUGCAUUAGUUAGUUGGUGGGGUAAAGGCUUACCAAGACAAUGAUGCAUAGCCGAGUUGAGAGACUGAUCGGCCACAUUGGGACUGAGACACGGCCCAAACUCCUACGGGAGGCUGCAGUAGGGAAUCUUCCACAAUGGGCGCAAGCCUGAUGGAGCAACGCCGCGUGUGUGAUGAAGACUUUCGGGUCGUAAAGCACUGUUGUAUGGGAAGAAAUGCUAAAAUAGGGAAUGAUUUUAGUUUGACGGUACCAUACCAGAAAGGGACGGCUAAAUACGUGCCAGCAGCCGCGGUAAUACGUAUGUCCCGAGCGUUAUCCGGAUUUAUUGGGCGUAAAGCGAGCGCAGACGGUUGAUUAAGUCUGAUGUGAAAGCCCGGAG
rnacentral:rRNA from 1 species